rnacentral:rRNA from 1 species
UACGUAGGGUCCAAGCGUUGUCCGGAUUUAUUGGGCGUAAAGAGCUCGUAGGCGGUUCGGUAAGUCGGAUGUGAAAACUCAGGGCUCAACCCGGAGACGCCAUCCGAUACUGCUGUGACUUGAGUCUGGUAGGGGAACACGGAAUUCCUGGUGUAGCGGUGAAAUGCGCAGAUAUCAGGAGGAACACCGAUGGCGAAGGCAGUGUUCUGGGCCAGUACUGACGCUGAGGCGCGAAAGCCAGGGGAGCAAACGGG